UAAUGUUUUCCCUGCAGCUGUCCAGUCACCUUUAUUGAAAACCCAAAGUGCAAAAACCUCCUCCUCAGGGAGCAACAGCAGAAACUCCCGAAAUCUCACCAGAGACUGCUUGGGAUGGAAGACCUUUUCAUGGAAAAUUCUUCUAGAAUAUUUGAUGCAAAUACACCAUCAACACAUCAUUUCUUAAAAGUUCACACCACAGGCAACACCAGUAUUAGGAACAGUAAGGAGAACGACACAGUGCUUUUCCAAAAAGCCAUCCAAUGAAUUUAUCAUCUUCUGUCUGAACUAUUUGCAGAAGCAACUGAAUAAGGCAGAAAAGAAAGAUUAAAAUGUUCUAAGCUGUUGCUUCACAGUAUGUCUUACAGAAAAGUAAUUUA